CGCGGGUUUUGUCUCCGCUUAGAUAGUGCGAAAUUAACGUGUAAUAUUUCACUGAACACUCUCAAACGUUGUAGGAAUAUUGUUUCCGUCGCGUAGUUUCGACUAUUCUUUCGAAAAGUGUCAGUGAUCGUAAAAUCGAACGUGAUAUCGCGAAUUUGUGAUCGACGAGGGUCGCUCGUCUCUCGUAGAAUUAUUGGCGUUCCUAUUUCGUGUCGCCCUCUGUUGUCUAGAAAAUCUACCUUCGGCACGAUGUUCACCGUGAAAGUAUCGAAUGAACAUACAUAUUUACGAAGGAAUCUGGCAAACUGUGAUUACGUGGCACGCUGUGAUCCAUGGAGAGUCUUAACCUCGGCUUUGAUCGCCCUUACAACAAGCAACAGGUCGUACCAGGACAAAGGCCUGGCGUUCGGCGGAGGUUUCCGUGGAUCGAGGUACAAGCGCCGACAAACGUGUGGAGACCACUUCAGACCAGUUUCCGCAUAGUAGUUACGCAGGUACUUUGAUCGAUCGUCGUUGGUCCCACAUGUCGGUAGGCCUGCGUCUAUGUAUAGAGGAAGCCACGUCGACGGCGAGGAUUAAGGGCGCGUUUAAGGGCUGUUUACGGUUUUGCGGACGGCCAGCCAUAAGCCCGCGCGCGUACCGCCGCUGUGCCUCGGAAUUUCGGAUGGUGGUUUAUGGAUAACGGGAAAUCGGGAUGUGGGCCCGCCGAGGGAAACAAGAUAAACGCUCGUUGUUUGUGCUGGCUGGAUUGCUUAAGAGGGAGCAAUUCGAGGAGCCAGGUCUGCCGGUGCACGCGGUAAUGCACGGGUAAGUCAUUGUAAUAAGCUUUGUCUACACGCUGCUCGAGCCGGAGAUUC